UACAGAGGGUGCGAGCGUUGUCCGGAAUCACUGGGCGUAAAGGGCGCGUAGGCGGCUUGAUAAGCGUGCGGUGAAAGCCCGGGGCUCAACCCCGGGUCGGCCGUGCGAACUGUCGAGCUGGAGCACUGUAGAGGCAGGUGGAAUUCCGGGUGUAGCGGUGGAAUGCGUAGAGAUCCGGAAGAACACCAGUGGCGAAGGCGACUCUCUGGAACGCAACUGACGCUGAGACGCGAAAGCGUGGGGAGCAAACAGG
rnacentral:rRNA from 1 species